GCUCACCAGUUCAUACCAGCCUUAUUUAUGAUGGUCUGUGGUGAUGCUGGAGCCUGCACAACCUCCUGCUGAAGAAGACCUGGCUAAUGCUGAUGCUCUACUACUGACCUCGUAUAUUUCCAGAUGCAGUCCAUGAGAACAUUUUGCCCUGCCUUUAAAAUACCAUAUACUGUACAUGUCAAGGUAACAUCCAGUCAUACUUCGCAUGGCAUGAGGCAGAAACAGGAUUUUCUAGCAGGGAGCGCUCGAGUUUUGACAUGGGCAGCAGUGGGAGAAUGCUAUGAACUUGCCUGGUGUAGCUUCAUUUUGUGUUGUGAUGCGACCCACCAGAUGAAAGAGGGCAUGAUUAAGGUAUGUGUAGUUUGCUGCAGUAAUGACCCCCCUGCUCACCUCUUGGCCUCUUGAUUUUCUUUAUGGUUCUGUACCCUGGAGAGUUCUCAUUUAUUCUGACAUGCUUUCCUGGUCUUU
rnacentral:lncRNA from 1 species